ACUCAAAGGAAUAGACGGGGACCCGCACAAGCGGUGGAGCAUGUGGUUUAAUUCGACGGUAAGCGAGGAACCUUACCAAGGCUUGACAUGUACCUGCAUCUCCUGGAAACAGGAGCGCCUUCGAGGGUGGUACACAGGUGCUGCACGGUUGUCGUCAGCUCGUGUCGUGAGAUGUGCACUUAAGUGUGCGAACGAGCGCAACCCCUAUUGUUGGUUACAAGUGUCCAACGAGACUGCCAGGGUUUAACCUGGAGGAAGGUGGGGAUGACGUCAAAUCAGCGUGGCUCUUACGCCUUGGGCCACACACGUGCUACAAUGGGUAGGCACAAAGGGACGCCAAGUCGCAAGACGGAGCAAAUCCUAUUAAAACUACCCCCAGUUCAGAUUGAGGGCUGCAACUCGCCCUCAUGAAGCCGGAAUCGCUAGUAACCGUAGAUCAGCCUCGCUACGGUGAAUACGUUCUCGGGUUUUGUACACACCGCCCGU
rnacentral:rRNA from 1 species